UGGGGAUUGGUGUAACGGUAGCACAACUGACUCUGGAUCAGUUUGUCUAGGUUCGAAUCCUAGAUCCCCAG
rnacentral:tRNA from 2 species